UAGCCGAUAAUUAGGACGAGGUGUCCUUGUAGAUCUGUGUACAUCUUUUGGUAGGUGUCUCGACAUUCGGUAGCUGUAUAUCCAUCCGAAUCACUCCGCUGGAGGUCGAGUAUUAUUUUGUUAUGUAUAAAUGAACUUAAUGUAAAUUUUAAAAGAGUAAUGCCAGUACGAGUUGGCAAUGUAUAUCACUAUUUUGACUCAAAGUCAUGAAAUAGGACUUAGUGAUAAUAAAUAGAAUCAUAAGUAAGAUAAAUAAUAGGCUUGCCUGGGUUUAGUGGAUUAUGUCCAUUGGACCCAUGCGCCGGUCAUGACCUGGAAUUUGGGUCGUGACAA
rnacentral:lncRNA from 1 species